rnacentral:tRNA from 1 species
GCAGUGUGGUUCAGUGGUAGAAUUCCCAUUUUCCAGGUGGGAGACAGGGGUUCGAUUCCCGGCCCAUGCA